rnacentral:rRNA from 1 species
GACGAACGCUGGCGGCGUGCCUAACACACGCAAGUCGAGCGAAUGAAGUUCCUUCGGGAACGGAUUUAGCGGCGGACGGGUGAGUAACACGUGGGCAACCUACCUCAUAGAGGGGAAUAGCCUUCCGAAAGGGAGAUUAAUACCGCAUAAGAUUGUAGUACCGCAUGGUACAGCAAUUAAAGGAGCAAUCCGCUAUGAGAUGGGCCCGCGGCGCAUUAGCUAGUUGGUGAGGUAACGGCUCACCAAGGCGACGAUGCGUAGCCGACCUGAGA